rnacentral:sRNA from 1 species
UAUACGCGGCAUAAAUCCGCAUAUCUCC